UACGGGGGGAGCAAGCGUUGUUCGGAUUUACUGGGCGUAAAGGGCGCGUAGGCGGCCACCGCAAGUCGACUGUGAAAUCUCCGGGCUUAACCCGGAAAGGUCAGCCGAUACUGCGGGGCUAGAGUGCAGAAGGGGCAACUGGAAUUCUCGGUGUAGCGGUGAAAAUGCGUAGAUAUCAAGAGGAACACCUGAGGUGAAGACGGGUUGCUGGGCUGACACUGACGCUGAGGCGCGAAAGCUAGGGUAGCAAACGGG
rnacentral:rRNA from 1 species